GACGAACCGCCCGAACGUUGUUCGGAAUCACUGGGCUUAAAGGGAGCGUAGGCGGGCUGCCAAGUCCGGGGUGAAAUCCUCCAGCUUAACUGGAGAACUGCCUCGGAUACUGGAAGUCUCGAGGAGGGUAGGGGCAAGUGGAACCGUGGGUGGAGCGGUGAAAUGCGUUGAUAUCCAUGGGAACUCCGGGUGGCGAAGGCGACUUGCUGGACCCUUUCUGACGCUGAGGCUCGAAAGCCAGGGGAGCAAACGGG
rnacentral:rRNA from 1 species